ensembl:antisense
CUCCUCCCCCCUGGGAUCAGAGGAGGCUUACCCAAGGCUAUGGCAGGGUGUGGAACUGCUAUGUGUGGAUGGAUGUGUCUGGCCAGAGCUGUGUGUGAGCCUCUGCACCCUUGUAAGGACUCGUGGGUCUGAGUACGCUGUACUCAGAUGUGAGUCUCAGACAGGUUUGGGAGCCUCUGUGGUCUGGCUGCUAUGGCUGCCCAUGUAGCCUGUUGCUAGUUGAAUAGAACUGGGUCAGACUCUAGGAAACUCUUCAAAUGAGUCCCAGGUUUACAUAGCACUGUCCACACUGAGAGAAUUAGGACUUCAGCCAAGGAGAGCUCCCACCAUCUCAUCACCCAUCAGAAGAAGUAGGGUAAGGAUGGGGACUUGCCUAAGAUCUAGGAGUCCCAGUGUCUAGGGCAUGCAUGCAUACAUGCAUAGGCAAACAGAAGAAUCACCUCAAAUGCUUCGCUAACAAACUGUGCUCCUCGAGGAAUCCCCAACUGCUCAUCCAAGGACCAUGGAGCACUAUGGGAAGGUGCCUGGCUGGGGUCUUCAGGGCUGGAGAGAUGGUUUAGUUGGUAAGGUACUUGCCAUGUGAACAUCGAGAUCUGAGUCCAGUCCCAGCACUCAUAUAAAAAUGGCUGUAGGGAUGCAGCGACUAAAGGGUCCCCAGGAUUCACUGGCUAGCCAGAGUAACCCAGAUGACUUCCAGAUUAAUUGACAGACCUUGUCUCAAUAUAAGGGGACCCCCCUACACACACACACACACACACACACAAACACACACACAGAGCAUGGUUUUCCAUCCCAGAAUUCACCAUUCCAUCAGACUCAUUUUGCCUGUCUGCUAACAGGGGCAGCAUUCUGCACCCAGCAAUUCUCUCAUGUGGGAGGCCAAGAACCUAAAGAGAGAGGAGGUUUCUUGCAGCAUGGUCCCCCACCAUGUUGGAUGAAACAGAGGUUCCCAGGGAUAUGGGCAGGAAACUGGGCUUCUCUUACCUAAGGCACCACUUACUUGACACCCAGGAAGAGGACCUGUAGCCAUAACCAAGCCAGUAGCAGCAAGAUGACCAUGGUGGGGAAGGCAAAACCAAACCACGAAGCAAAGUUCACCACGUUACUAUUUUCGGGGAAGAUCCUGAUGAAGGAGACAUGGGCUGUUGUGUAACAGUGACCCUAAAACUGCCUUGCCCCAUUUGUCACUCAAUGAGAGUGCAAGUCCCCUUUUGUCAUGCCACCCCCACCGCUGGCACUCACGAGUUGACCUGGCCUUGGAGCACCAGGUUGGGCGUGGUACCAGUCAGGGUGGCAAUGCCCCCAAUGCUGGCUGAGUAGCAGAUGCAGAGACUCAGGCCCUGGCUGAAGCGAUGAUGCUCUUUGGUCUUCUGCGCUCUUGACUCCGAAGAAGCAGAUACAGCCUGUCCGUUAUCUGUGAACAAGGAAAAGCGUGUGGGGACAGGGUCAAGAGUAACUGCGGGAGUCCUGGCUUCAUCCUGAGGCCUCCAGGGACCGUGGGCAGAGGCUGUCUCCAGAUUCCAGCACCCUCUGGAGCUGUGGGCUUCUCAGACACGUUCUGGUUCAACAUGUCUUGGGAAACUGAAGCACAGAGAUGUGAAGAGGGUUACCUAGACCAAGCAGGAGGAAUAAAGCCCAGAACACUUCCCAUGUCCCAGACUUUAGCUCGCUUCUCACCAAACUCUUGGAUGGCUGGGAAUGAAGGGUCCUAGCACAGGGCGCCUCGCUCUUUGGUGUUUACUAUUGUUAUUGUUGUUACAUUACCAGGGCUCCACACAUGCUGGGCAACUGCCCUACCAUUUAGCCCAAGGAUCUUGGCAUUUAAUAUUUUUGAAACAAAAUUAUUAUGUUGCUAUUAGUGUUGUUAAUAACAACAAUAACAACAACUAUUACUAUUAUUACUAUUACACACAUGCAUGCACACACACACACACACACACACACACACACACACACACANNNNNNNNNNNNNNNNNNNNNNCAAGAUGAAUACUCUUGUAGUCAUAUUAGAGUUUCCCAAGCAUGGAGGGGCUGAGUGCAGGGUCUGUUUCAUGUCUCUUACCAAGCUUGGUCACCUCCUUCUGGGGACUUGCUUCCUGGAGCUCAAAGGAAGGGUUAAUGUUGCCUUCCUCCUCGUCCUUUUGUGAGCCCUGCAGCUGCUCCAGGACCGCAUACCCGAUGGGCAGCAUCAUGGCUGUGGUGGCAGUGUUGCUGAUCCACAUGGAGAGGAAGGCUGUGACCAACAUGAAGCCCAGAAGCAGCCUAGAACCAAGCAGACAGACACACUGCCACUCCAGCUGUCUUCCAGCCAUGGGAUACCUGUUUGUUCCUCCCACCUGGCUAGCACGGACUCACAGGGCGGGCCGCACUCCUAUGAUAAGGAGCACUCCAAGGGCAAUGCGCUUGUGCAGGUUCCAGUGCUCCACCGCGAUGGCCACCAUCAGCCCCCCGAUGAACAAUAUGUUGGUGUCCUUGAAGUACUCUAAGCAGACCUGGGGAGAGCGGAGACGUGUCUGAGACUCUGGGGUCUCCUCCUGAUACUACUGAGCUUAUGGGGAACAGUCAUGACAUCCUUAAAAAUUGGCAUUCCCUUGGGACCUCAGAACCAAAUGGAAAUGGCCUUUGGGCUACUGACCAUUGACAGGAGCCAGGUUGCCUGUUCCUCCUAAACUCACUCCUUUUCUCCUCUCAAAGACGGGGAGGCUCUAGCCUGAAUCCAGUUGUGGUUCAAGCUGAGAACUGGGAGAUAACUAAUUCUCUGCUCUUUCUAGAACGUAGGUGUGUCCCUGGGCCGGUAUCAACACCAUCUUCCUUCUCCUUCAGCGGGGCUUGGUAGCUCUGUUGAAGUCCCCGGAGCAGGGAAGCUGUGAAUUCUAGGCCAGCCUGGGCUACACAGCAAGAAGCUGUGUUAGAAUGAAGGAGAAGGAAGACGAAUAAAGAAGGAAGAAGGGAGGGAGGAGGAAGAGAGAGAAGAAGGAAGAAGAGGAAAGAGGAAGGGAAAAGGAAGAAGGACGCGAUGGAGAGGAAAACCCUUUAGAUCUGGGUGAGCUCAGAUGCAGGCCCAUCUGUCUGGUUUGCUCCUCUGUUCUGGUGCGAUUCAAACUCAAAAGCCAUUACAUUAGAUGUAUAGCUGGGGCCGGAGAGAUGGUUCAUCAGUUUAGAGCACUUGCUGCUCUUCCAGAAGGCCCGGGUUUGGUUCUCAGUGUCCCCGGAUGGUUCACAACCAUCUUUAACACAAGGGGAUUCAAUGCCCUCUUGUGAUCUCUGAGGGUACCAGGCACAAAUGUGAUACACAUACUUGUGCACAUCGAAUACAUACAUCUUUUA